rnacentral:rRNA from 1 species
AAAUUGAAGAGUUUGAUCAUGGCUCAGAUUGAACGCUGGCGGCAGGCCUAACACAUGCAAGUCGAGCGGAAACGAGUUAUCUGAACCUUCGGGGAACGAUAACGGCGUCGAGCGGCGGACGGGUGAGUAAUACCUAGGAAAUUGCCCUGAUGUGGGGGAUAACCAUUGGAAACGAUGGCUAAUACCGCAUGAUGCCUACGGGCCAAAGAGGGGGACCUUCGGGCCUCUCGCGUCAGGAUAUGCCUAGGUGGGAUUAGCUAGUUGGUGAGGUAAGGGCUCACCAAGGCGACGAUCCCUAGCUGGUCUGAGAGGAUGAUCAGCCACACUGGAACUGAGACACGGUCCAGACUCCUACGGGAGGCAGCAGUGGGGAAUAUUGCACAAUGGGCGCAAGCCUGAUGCAGCCAUGCCGCGUGUGUGAAGAAGGCCUUCGGGUUGUAAAGCACUUUCAGUCGU